GAUGAAGAACGCAGCGAAAUGCGAUAAGUAAUGUGAAUUGCAGAAUUCAGUGAAUCAUCGAAUCUUUGAACGCACAUUGCGCCCCUUGGUAUUCCGAGGGGCAUGCCUGUUCGAGCGUCAUUUUGACCACUCCCGCUUGCGGGGUCUUGGGCCUUCGCCUCUGGGCGGGCCUUAAAAUCAGUGGCGGUGCCGUCCGGCUCUAAGUGUAGUAAAUCUCCUCGCUAUAGGGUUCCGGAGGGAUGCUGGCCAACAACCCCCAACUUUUAAGGUUGACCUCGGAUCAGGUAGGGAUACCCGCUGAACUUAAGCAUAUCAAUAAGCGGAGGA
rnacentral:misc_RNA from 1 species